UAACGAAUCUUCCGCAAUGCGCGAAAGCGUGACGGGGCAAUGCCGCGUGCAGGAUGAAGCCCUUCGGGGUGUAAACUGCUGUCAGGGUUCAGGAACACAAUGACCAGACCCAAAGGAAGAGCCGGCUAACUCUGUGCCAGCAGCCGCGGUAAUACAGAGGGCUCGAGCGUUAAUCGGAAUCACUGGGCUUAAAGCGUGCGUAGGCGGAUGCAAAGGCACCUUGUGAAAUCCCACGGCUCAACCGUGGAAUUGCUUGGUGAACCAUGCAUCUUGAGGCAGGUAGGGGUGGCUGGAACGAUAGGUGGAGCGGUGAAAUGCGUAGAUAUCUAUCGGAACGCCUAAGGAGAAGUCAGGCCACUGGGCCUGUCCUGACGCUGAGGCACGAAAGCGUGGGGAGCAAACGGGAUUAGAUACCCGCGUAGUCC
rnacentral:rRNA from 1 species